rnacentral:rRNA from 1 species
ACGCCAUUAGUUAUCCGCCUGGGAGUACGGUCGCAGAGUUAAAUUCCAAGGAAUUGACGGGGCCCUGCACAAGCGGUGGAGCAUCUGGUUUAAUUCGAAGCUACGCGCAGAACCUUACCAGCGUUUGGCAUCCCGAUCGCGGAUUAGAGAGAUCUUUUCCUUCAGUUCGGCUGGAUCAGUGACAGGUGCUGCAUGGCUGUCGUCAGCUCGUGUCGUGAGAUGUUGGGUUAAGUCCCGCAACGAGCGCAACCCUCAUCCCUAGUUGCCAUCAUUCAGUUGGGCACUCUAAGGAAACUGCCGGUGAUAAGCCGGAGGAAGGUGGGGAUGACGUCAAGUCCUCAUGGCCCUUACGCGCUGGGCUACACACGUGCUACAAUGGCAACUACAGUGGGCAGCAACCUCGCGAGGGGUAGCUAAUCUCCAAAAGUUGUCUCAGUUCGGAUUGUUCUCUGCAACUCGAGAGCAUGAAGGCGGAAUCGCUAGUAAUCGCGGAUCAGCAUGCCGCGGUGUAUACGUUC